AAGAAAGAAAUGACAUCAUAUCCUUUGCAGGGACAUGGAUGGAGCUGGAAGCCGUUACCCUCAGCAAACUAAUGCAGGAACUGAAAACCAAAUACCACAUGGUGUCACUUAUAAGUGGGAGCCGAAUGAUGAGAGCACAUGGACACAUGGAACCCUGCCAGCGUUCCCAGGAGCCGCAGGACCCCAGAGAUGUUCCCAGCUGCAUGAUCCCGGGCAUCAGCUGAGGGCAAGUCAUCCUCUCUAAGGCUUUGAGUUGUGCAGGCUCCUUGGCUGCCUCAGCACCUCCCUCAAAGCAAAGUCCUCCCACCUUGGAGUUCAGCCCAUCAAGCCUUCCACCUACCCAGCUGCCUCAGUCACCAUCAGAGUCCAUGUCUGAAUAUCACCACCACUGGCUGGAUUGUUCUGAAUAUUCUCUAAUCUAACCUCAUUCCCACCCAUCUCCAUCCUCCCAAAUUAUUCCAAAAUGUCCCUUUGCAAUUCAUAGUUCAUCAUCAAUAAAGUCCCAGUGUAUCUUCAACCUCUCACCUAAAUAUUCCAUUCCGCUUCUUGCUCUAACUCGGGAGUUGGAAAACAUUUUUUUGUAAUGGGCCAGAUAGUAAAUAUUUUAGGCUUUGCAGGCCACAUCAUCUCCAUUGUCAUUGUUACUUGAAAGGGGUCCCAAUCCAGACACCAAGAGAGGGUGCUUGUAUCUUGUGCAGGAAGGAAUUCAGGGUGAGUCUGUAAAGUGAAAGCAAGUUUAUUGGAAAAGUAAAGAACACAAAAGAAUGGCUACUCUAUAGGCAGAGCAGCCCCGAGGGCUGCUGGUUGGUUAUCUUUAUGGUUAUUUCUUGAUCAUAUGCUAAACAAGGGGUGGAUUAUUCAUGAGUUUUCUGGGAAAGAGGUGGGAUUUUCCCAGGAACUGAGGGUUCCUCCCCUUUUCAGACCAUAUAGAAUAAUUUCCGGGUGUUGCCAUGGCAUCUGUAAACUGCCAUGGUGCUGGUGGGAGUGUCUUUUAGCAUGUGAAUGUAUUAUAGUUAGUGUAUAAUGAGCACUUUUGUCACCAUCUUGGAUUUGGUGGGUUUUGGCCAGCUUCUUUACUGCCUCCUGUUUUAUUGACAGGGUCUGUGUGACCCGUAUCUUGUGUGACCUGUAUCUUAUGCCGACCUCCUAUCUCAUCCAGUGACCAAGAAUGCCUAACCUCCUGAGAACGCAGCCCACAGUCUCAUGCUCAGAUGUCUCUGCUUGGGGAAACCAUGUUGUGAGCAAACCAACAGUGGGGGCCGUGUGGAGAGGAAGCCUCCUGCCAACGCCUUGCAAGUGAGCUUGCAAGUGGAUCCUCCAGCCCGAUGUCAAGAAUUCAGAGAGUAUGGCCUCAGCCAACAGCCUGAGAAACCCUGGCCCAGACCAUCCAGCCGGGUCAUCGCAGAUUCCCAACCCUCAGACAGCAUAUAAGAAAAUAAAUAUUUGCUCCUUUAAGCAGCUAAUUUUGCAGUAAUUUGUUAUACAGCAAUAGAUAACCAACACAGACCUCAGCCAGUCUAGUAUUGUCUACUGGGGCACUAUCUUUCUUCCUUGGUCUGAUAUCCCUAGUCUGUUUCUAAUUUUUUUGGUUUUUUUUUUUUUUUUGGUUUUUUGAGGCUCACUGCAGCCUUGAACUCCUGGGCGGACUCAAGCAAUCCUCCUGCCUUAGCCUCCCACACAGCUUGAACGACAGAUGCAUGCCACAAUAGCUGGCAAAUUUUAAGAAUUUUGCUAUUGAGAUGGGGGUCUCAACAUCUUGACCAGGCUGGUCUCAAACUGCUGGUCUGAAGCCAUCCUCCUGCCUUGGCCUCCCAAAGCUCUGGGAUUACAGGCACAAGCCACCAUGCCCAGUUUGUUUCUGGUCUUUUUUGAGGUGUGAUUUUCUUUCUCUUUUAAGACCCUGCCUCACCUGUGGGACCUGGCUGAUUUUCUUUUUUUCUUUUUUUUUUUUUUUUGAGACGGAGUUUGGCUCUGUCGCCUAAGCUGGAGUGCAGUGGCGUGAUCUCCUCUCACUGCACCCUCCACCUCCCAGGUUCAAGCAAUUAUCCUGCCUCGGCCUCCCGAGUAGCUGGGACUACAGGCCCACGCUGCCACGCCCGGCUAAUUUUUUGUAUUUUAGUAGAGAUGGGGGUUCACCGUGUUGCUCAGGCUGGUCGCGAACUCCUGAGCUCAGGCAAUCCGCCCACCUCGGCCUUCCAAAGUGCUGGGAUUACAGGCGUGAGCCACUGCGCCUGGCCGGUUGAUUAUUUUUUCUUAACUUUGACCUUUUGCUUUUCUCCUCCGCUAGGAUCCAGCCUCUCCCCUUGGUUGUUGCAGUCCCUGACUGAGGCUUUACAGCCUAGCGCAGACUCCUCGGUUCUCUCCAGCCCCAGAAUAGGAAUUCAGUUCUAGGCUGUGGAUUUCAAAUGUCAGAUAGCCAUUGGUGUCGACGUCUCUUGAUUAAUAUUUUAAAUACGAAAACAAGGCAAAAAAUUUCCCAGGGGAAAAUACUGCGUUUUUGAAUGUGUGUUUUUGAAUAUUCUUACUAUUAAUAAUAUCAUUGUCAUAUUUUAACCUUUCACUUGAGGAACAUAAGGAUUAUAAGAACAUGUAGAAGCAUGGAGGAGAUUUAGGAAAUCUGACUUAUACCUGAUAAAAAUGAGGCCCCUGAGGUUAUGUGAAGUUCCCAAGGUCACUCAGCGCUACGAAAGAGCAUUUCAGUGGAACAAGUAUGUCAAGGAUAAUGGAAGCUGAGAAAGGAUCUUUUGGGGAGGUGGGUGGGGCUUCCCUGAGGACGGCUAUCAUGCCUUUCUGUAUGAGUGAGUCCUAGUCCAGUUACCACAGGCUGGACACCGAAUGCAAUGAAGCAGCGAUAUGACUCGAGAUGCUGUUUCUUAUGUUUUUAUGUUACUUUUAGGUAUGACACAAAGUCUGGAUCAAAUAGCAGCUACUUGGCUGGGCACAGUAGCUCACGCCUGUAAUCCCAGUAAUUUGGGAGGCCGAGGCGGGUGGAUCACCUGAGGUCAGGAGUUCGAGACCAGCCUGGCCAACAUGGCAAAACUCCUUCUCUACUAAAAAUACAGAAAUCAGCCGGCCGUGGUGGCAGGCCUCUGUAAUCCCACCUACUGGGGAGGCUGAGGCAGGAGGAUCGCUUGAACCAGGGAGGCAGAGACUGCUGUGAGCUGAGAUCGCGCCACUGCACUACAGCCUGGGUUACAGAGCGAGACUCUGCAUCCAAAA
rnacentral:lncRNA from 10 species